UACGUAGGCAGCGAGCGUUGUUCGGAGUUACUGGGCGUAAAGGGUGUGUAGGCGGUUCUUUAAGUUUGGUGUGAAAUCUCCCGGCUCAACCGGGAGGGUGCGCCGAAUACUGAGGGACUCGAGUGCGGGAGAGGAAAGUGGAAUUCCUGGUGUAGCGGUGAAAUGCGUAGAUAUCGGUAGGAACACCAGUGGCGAAGGCGGUCUCCUGGGGCAUUCUUGACGCUGAGGCGCGAAAGCUGGGGGAGCAAACGGG
rnacentral:rRNA from 1 species